rnacentral:rRNA from 1 species
CCUACGGGAGGCAGCAGUGAGGAAUAUUGGUCAAUGGGAGAGAUCCUGAACCAGCCAAGCCGCGUGAGGGAAGACGGCCCUAUGGGUUGUAAACCUCUUUUGUCGGAGAACAAAACCCGGGACGUGUCCCGGACUGCGUGUAUCCGAAGAAAAAGCAUCGGCUAACUCCGUGCCAGCAGCCGCGGUAAUACGGAGGAUGCGAGCGUUAUCCGGAUUUAUUGGGUUUAAAGGGUGCGUAGGCGGUCCGUUAAGUCAGCGGGAAAAUUGCGGGGCUCAACCCCGUCGAGCCGUUGAAACUGGCAGACUUGAGUGGGCGAGAAGUACGCGGAAUGCGCGGUGUAGCGGUGAAAUGCAUAGAUAUCGCGCAGAACUCCGAUUGCGAAGGCAGCGUACCGGCGCCAGACUGACGCUGAGGCACGAAAGCGUGGGGAUCGAACAGGAUUAGAUACCCUAGUAGUC